UACGGGGGGAGCAAGCGUUGUUCGGAUUUACUGGGCGUAAGGCGGCGUGAGAGCGGCGCAACAAGUCACUUGUGAAAUCUCCGGGCUUAACCCGGAGCGGUCAAGUGAUACUGUCGUGCUAGAGUGCGGAAGGGGCUACUGGAAUUCUCGGUGUAGCGGUGAAAUGCGUAGAUAUCGAGAGGAACACCUGCGGCGAAGGCGGGUAGCUGGGCCGACACUGACGCUGAUGCGCGAAAGCCAGGGGAGCGAACGGG
rnacentral:rRNA from 1 species